AAACAAAAUUACCUCUGUUUAAAUAUUUGGAUUUUUUUCUUUCACCUGACUAGACCCUAAUACAAGGGUCUUCUGGAGAAACAGUUCAGCCCAUUUGCACUAUGGUGAAGCCCACUGAAACCUCCCCCCAUCCCCAACACACACACCUGGAGUUUCCAAACAGCUUAAGAUCUAACUAAGCCAAGGAUUACUGUAUCAUUCACAAAGCCCAAGCCCCAAUUUGAGCAGAGAAAGUUUAUUAUUAGAAAGAAUUAUUGGCUGUAACAGGCUAAAAAGACGUGCAGAGAACUCCAAAGAAUGCUGUAGGGCCGCGGGAGAGUACCCAAAGAAGGACACACGUGGAAGCAUCCCCACCCCAAAGCUGGAUUCAGAACUCAAGGCAGAAAGUGUGCAUGUGCCCACCAGGUACCAGAUUAUUUCCCUGGGAUGCCCAGGCCAAAGCCUGUGAACAGUCAUGAGCAAGCAGGAAACUGGGGGGGUCGCGGCAUCGGGAGCCCACUCACUGCAUGCAAGGCCUGGGGCAUGCAGGGUCCACGUCAGGGCCAGCUCGCUGGGGGAACGCAUGCUGUCAGCACGCAGCUAGGACAGAGACCACCGGAUGUUCCCACCUGGCCACUGAUGGGCCCUGCCGCAGGAGCAACAAGAAUCACAAACCAUAGCUCCCGGAACCAGAGAUAAAAGAAAUUCUUUCCUCUGGCAGUGUCCCUCCGGCGCCCUCUACUGAGAAAGCUUAAUAUUGUGCUGGCUGCGAAGGAGAACCGCUUAAUUCAAUACAGAUCAGUUAAGAGGAUGGAUUUACGGUUGAGAGGCAAUACAUUGAUAAGAAACUAGUCAUUAUGGGAUGAAAACCACUGACAUGAAAGACAGGUAUUGAAAACACAAGAAUUAAGGAAUAUAAAGCCAGGCGCGGUGGCUCACGCCUGUAAUCUCAGUGCCUUCGCAAGCCAAGCUGGGCGGAUCGCUUGAGCCCAAGAGUUCAAGAACAGCCUGAGCAAAAUGGCGAGAUUCUGUGUCUACAAAAAGUACAAAAAUUAGCCGGGCGCGGUGGCGUGCACCUGUAGUCUCAGCUGCUCAGGAGGCUGAGAUGGGAGGAUCACUUGAGUCCGGGAGGUCGAGGCUUCAUUGAGCUGUGAUUAAGCCAUUGCCCUGGACCACAACAGAGAGACCCUGUCAAAAAAAAAAAAAAAAAAAAAAGAAGAAGAAGAAGAAGAGGAAAUUUAGAGAAUGCAAAGAGCCAAAUAAUAAAAUCCACUGCAAUUAAUAUUUUCAUAAACAUAAGAGACGAUAUUUUCUCCAUGGUAAAAGAACACAUUAUUAAAUAAAAAAUUUAAAGUUGAAGAAAUCUUCUAAAAAGAAGCAAAGGGUAAAGAAAUGUAGAUGGGACCGGGCACAGUAGCUCAGGCCUGUAAUCCCAGCACUUUGAGUUGCGGAAGUGGGUGGAUCACUUGAGAUUAGGAGUUCGAGACCAGCCUUACCAACAUAGUGAAACCCCGUCUCUACUAAAAAUACAAAAAUUAGCCAGGCGUGGUGGCAUACGCCUGUAAUCCCAGCUACUUGGGAGGCUAAGGCAGGAGAAUCGCUUGAACCCGAGAGAGGUGGAGAUUGGAGUGAGCCGAGAUAGUGCCACUACACUCCAACCUGGGUGACUCCAUCUCAAAAGAAAAAAAAAAAGGAAAAGAAAUGUAGAUGGUAUAGAAAAUAUAUGAAAAUUAGAUCAUCUGGAUGAAUAGGAGGAUUUCUAGAAAGAAUAGACAGAGGGAACAGAAGGGAUGAAAUUAUCAAAGAAAUAAUUCAAGAACUUUUCUCAGAACUGAGAGAUAUGGUUCCAAAGUGAGAUAGACCUCAAGUGUCUAACAGAAGUGUCUAACAAAAGGAAUGAAAUCCAAGGCAUACUACCAUAAUUUUAAAAAUACUGAGGACAAAAAGAAAAAUCCCAAAAUUGGACAAAAAGAAAAAAACAGGUCACAUGAAAAAGAUCAAAACUCAAAUGGUAUAGGGUUUUCUCUUUUUUUCUUUCUCUUUUCCUUUUUUUUUUUUUUUUUUUUUGAGACAGGAUCUCACUCUGUCACCCAGGCUGGAGCGUAGUGAUACAAUCAUGGAUCACUGCAGCCUUGAACUCCUGGGCUCAAGGGAUCGUCCCCUCUCAGCCUUCUGAAAACUACAGACACGUACCACCAUGCCCAGCUAAUUUUUAAAUUUAAUUUUAUUUUUUGUAGAGACGAAAUCUUACUACGUUGCCCAGGCUGGUCUUGAACUCCUGGGCUCAAGCAAUCCUCCCACUUUGGCUUCCCAAAGUGCUGGUAUUACAGGUGCGCACCAUAACACCUAGCUGAGGACUUUUCAACAGUAGCACUGGAAGCUGGAAGAUAGUGGAGCAGUGCUUUCCUAAUUUAGGUGUAAAUUUUACAACUUGGAAUUUUAUUUUCAGUAAAACUAUUAAUCAGAUGUAAUCAUAAUAUAAAAGACAUUUUCAGACAAAAUUUCAAAAAUUGCCCUCCCUUGCCCCUUUCCUUAGGAAGUUCCAUCAAAGUAAGGGAUUAGAUCAGGAGAGAUAAAGAUGUGGGAUCCUCCAAAGAGUGAGGAGAAUGAAAAUCCCAGGAGGUUGCUGUGUAGGAGAACUAGGGAUCCGCAGGUCCAGAUUAAAAUGGUUUGGAGGCCGGGCAUGGUGGCUCCUGCUUGUAAUCCCAGCACUUUGUGAAGCCAAGGCGGGUGGAUCACCUGAGGCUAGGAGUUUGAGACCAGCCCGGCCAACAUAGUGAAACCCCGUCUCUACCAAAAACACACAAAAGAAUUAGCUGGGCAUGGUGGCACAUGCCUGUAAUUCCAACUACUCAAGAGGCGGAGGCAGAGAAUUUCUUGAACCCAGAAGGCAGAAGUUGCAGUGAGCCAAGAUUUCACCACUGCACUUCUGCCUGGGUGACAGAGUGGAUCUCAAAAAGAAAAAAGAAAAAAAAAAAAGGCUUGGGGCCAAAACCUCAGGGAUUAAGAAAAUUCCUUUACCUGGUUACAGAAAGAUAUUACCAAGAAAAAGAGGGAAUUGAUUAAUUGUAAUACAUUAGACUGCAGAGAAAAAAUAGACUUCUAUAGAAUCUGCUGACAAAUUUGUGAUAAAUUCAUAGACAAAUGAUCAAAAGAAAACCUAGUAGAUCUGUAUAAUUCUGGAUAUCAUUCCAUAAAGCCCAGCUUAGAACCUGUGCCCUCAGCCCUUAUAAAGAUUUCAAAAGCUCUUAAUACCCUUUGUAAAAUGUCUUCCUGUUAAUUUACCUAGCGUAAUCUCUAGUUGCUGCACUGAACCCUGACUGAUAUAACUUGUUAUUAAGAAACAGGAAGAUAAAAACUAAUUGAGCAUCGAAGUGCUUUUACUUCUAGGAAGAGAGAAUUAGGGGUUGGUACCGGACUAUAGCUUUUGUUCUGUCUUUGGCUUUUUAAAUUACAUAUCUGUAAUUUAUAUACACACACAUAUAUAUUUGGCUUUUAAAAUUACAUAUCUGUAUAAAUCUGAUAAAAAUUUUAAAUAGUUAAAUAAAAACUUAUUUAGGAGAUAAUAUAUUAGAAUACUAAGAUGAGUGCUGAGUUUAAAAAACAAAAAGGCCAGGAGCGGUGGCUCACACCUGUAAUCCCAGCAUUUUGGGAGGCCAAGGUGGGUGGAUCACCUGAGGUCAGGAGUUUGAGACCAGCCUGACCAACAUGGUGAAACCCUGUCUCUACUAAAAAUACAAAAAAAUCAGCUGGGGAUGGUGGCAGGUGCCUGGGUAACAGAGUGAGACUCCGUCUAAAAAUGAAAGUGGCAUCUGAUACAGAGAAGAUUAGCAUGGCCCCUGCUCAAGGAUGACACACAAAUUUGUGAAGGGUUCCAUUUAAAAAAAAAAAAAAGUCUGAGCGAGGUGGCUCAGUCCUGUAAUCCCAGCACUUCGGGAGGCCAAGGCGGGAGGAUCACUUGAGGUCAGGGGUUCAAGUCCAGCCUGGCCAACAUGGCGAAACUCCGUCUGUACUAAAGUACAGAAAAAUUAGCUGGGCAUGGUGGUGCAUGCCUGUAGUCCCAGCCCCAGCUACUCCGGAGGCUGAGGCAGCAGAAUUGCUUGAACUCAGGAGGCGGAGGUUGCAGUGAGCUGAGAUCAUGCCAUUGCACUCCAGCCUGGGCAAGAAGAGCAAAAUUCCAUCUCAAAAAAAAAAAAAGGGCAUCUGAAUAUAUACAAUUACAAUGUCAAUAAAAAUAGAUAAAUGAAUAAAUACAGUUAGUCUUUUUUUUUUUAAUGGCAUCUGGACAUUCCUACAUUCUGGAAGAUUUACAAAUACAUAGUGGGGAUACCUCUCAUAAAUGUAUAAGCCUCUCAGUUUUUCCUUCCAAUGCAUUGCAGAUUGUCCUUAUUUAGCCCUUUCCCCUGGGAACCUGAGACUGAGAGCAGUGCAAGCUAUGCUUUUUUUGUAAACACAGCACCUCACAUUUCUAGAAGACAACCCUAAGUAAACUUCAGGGCCCUACGUCGGUCACCAUUCCAUCUGCUCUUCUCUGCUCUGAUUCUUCCUAUCCCUCAGAAACCCAAGGCCUCCUUAGCCAAACGGAGCUGCUGUGGUCGCAAAUAGCCUUGUGCCCCUGGGAACCUGUGAGAUGCAAUAUGUCGUCAGUCUCCCUCAAUCUUGGCCUGAGUCCAAGAGAAAGGCAGCUGCUCUGAGGUUCGAGACUCUCCAGUGACUCAGCUCUCUAAUUCCCAGUACUCUGUGCAUAUGCCCUCCUCAAUUCCAUCUCCUAGACUUGCCAGAUGUAGGUCGAGUCCUCAAAGAUGAGAUAACCAAGAUGCAAAAUCCUAAAAUCCUCCAUUAAGCACCUACCAGCUGCAGAGGCCCUGCUGGGGCCCUGAGGGAGAUGUGUGUGGCAGACUGCAGGCCAAGUAAGUCCUUCUUUAAGGCUGGUGUCAUGAGAAUUACUCAAUGCCGCCUCCUGCUGGGGAAGGACACUUCACCCCUUUUAUGGAAGCCCAACGGGAAGGACUCAUGGGACAGGGCAGGCUGCCCUGUCUCUUUUUUAGGCAGUCACUGCAAUCACACAUGCUCACUAAUCCAGUUCACUAAGGUACGAAGCCACAAUAAAGUUUGGAGCCAAAACUGUAGAUAUAAAGAGAGUUCCUUUAUCUGGAAUGGCCUCGAUUUUUGAAUAAGGAGUUUUUUGUUGUUGUUUUGUUUUGUUUUGUUUUGUUUUUGAGACAGAGUUUCACUCUUUUGCCCAGGCCGGAGUGAAGUGGCAAGAUCUCUGCUCACUGCAGCCUCCGCCUCCCGGGUUCAAGCAAUUCUCCUGCCUCAGCCUCCUGAGUAGCUGGGAUUACAGGCGCCUGCCACCACGCCUGGCUAAUUUUUGUACUUUUAGUAGAGAUGGGGUUUCGCCAUGAUGGCUAGGCUGGUCUCGAACUCCUGCCCUCACGUGAUCCGCCGGCCUCGGCCUCCCAAAAUGCUGGGAUUACAGACGUGAGCCACCAAGCCCAUCCAUAAGGUUAUAUUUUUUAAUGUCCUGCCUCCUCCUCUUUUUUUUUCUUCUCUUUUUGUUUUCAAAUAACUAAAGAUGCACAGAAAGUUGCAAAAUUAGUACCGAGAUGUCCUGUGCACUCUUCACGCAGCUUCCCCAGUGGUAAGCUCUUACAUACUACAGUACAUUAUCAGAACAAGCAAUUGAUGCAUAUUUUCUCAAUGCAUUGCAGUAGGUGGAUUUGGUACUUGAGACCCUCAACAAUCUCUUUCCGCAUAUCAUGACUAACAGUAUAGGCUCAUGGUUUUUAAAGGACUGCCCUUUGAAGGAACUGGAUGGAAUUUUGUUUGCAAAGAGCUGAGAAUCACUGGAGAGGCAAUAAAUGGAAAUGUUCCUGUAGAUUGUCACUAUAGAGAGCAGGGCUGAUGGAUGUCAAAGGAUAUCCAGGGAUAUAAGCCCUCAGCAGGGAGGAGAGCAAAAAGGCCAGUGUGGUUGGUUAUUGGAGAAGUUAUUUGGAUAGUUUUUAAUUAGAG
rnacentral:lncRNA from 1 species